rnacentral:lncRNA from 1 species
GUGGCAAAGCCCUUAAACAGCAUGGAGUCAGAGCCCAUAUGCAGCAUGGCCGCAGAGCCCUUAUGCAGCGUGGUUGCAGAGCCCAUAAACUGCAUGAUUCCAGAGCCCAUAAGCUGCAUGAUUCCAGAGCCCAUAAGCUGCAUGGUUCCAGAGCCCAUAAACUGCAUGGUUCCAGAGCCCAUAAGCUGCAUGGUUCCAGAGCCCAUAAGCUGCAUGGUUGCAGAGCCCAUAAACUGCAUGUUUGCAGAGCCCAUAUGCAGCAUGGUUGCAGAUCCCUUAAACAGCAUGGUCACAAAACCUAUAAACAGCAUGGUGGCAGAA